AAUAGAUACCCCGGUAGUCCACGCCGUAAACGAUGAGUGCUAAGUGUUAGAGGGUUUCCGCCCUUUAGUGCUGCAGCUAACGCAUUAAGCACUCCGCCUGGGGAGUACGGCCGCAAGGCUGAAACUCAAAGGAAUUGACGGGGGCCCGCACAAGCGGUGGAGCAUGUGGUUUAAUUCGAAGCAACGCGAAGAACCUUACCAGGUCUUGACAUCCUCUGCCAACCCUAGAGAUAGGGCGUUCCCCUUCGGGGGACAGAGUGACAGGUGGUGCAUGGUUGUCGUCAGCUCGUGUCGUGAGAUGUUGGGUUAAGUCCCGCAACGAGCGCAACCCUUGAUCUUAGUUGCCAGCAUUUAGUUGGGCACUCUAAGGUGACUGCCGGUGACAAACCGGAGGAAGGUGGGGAUGACGUCAAAUCAUCAUGCCCCUUAUGACCUGGGCUACACACGUGCUACAAUGGACGGUACAAACGGUUGCCAACCCGCGAGGGGGAGCUAAUCCGAUAAAACCGUUCUCAGUUCGGAUUGUAGGCUGCAACUCGCCUAC
rnacentral:rRNA from 1 species